rnacentral:rRNA from 1 species
ACACUCCUACGGGAGGCAGCAGUGGGGAAUAUUGCACAAUGGGCGCAAGCCUGAUGCAGCCAUGCCGCGUGUAUGAAGAAGGCCUUCGGGUUGUAAAGUACUUUCAGCGGGGAGGAAGGCGAUAAGGUUAAUAACCUUGUUGAUUGACGUUACCCGCAGAAGAAGCACCGGCUAACUCCGUGCCAGCAGCCGCGGUAAUACGGAGGGUGCAAGCGUUAAUCGGAAUUACUGGGCGUAAAGCGCACGCAGGCGGUCUGUCAAGUCGGAUGUGAAAUCCCCGGGCUCAACCUGGGAACUGCAUUCGAAACUGGCAGGCUAGAGUCUUGUAGAGGGGGGUAGAAUUCCAGGUGUAGCGGUGAAAUGCGUAGAGAUCUGGAGGAAUACCGGUGGCGAAGGCGGCCCCCUGGACAAAGACUGACGCUCAGGUGCGAAAGCGUGGGGAGCAAACAUGAUUAGAAACCCGAGUAGUCCCAU